GGGGUUUUGCGCCGCUCAGGACGGUUGUGGUUGGUUGGAAAAAAAAUACAAACAAGCCUGACCUUUUUGUCCCCCCUCCCAUCUUGUUAACUCGUGCAGCCCGUUCUCUUAAUACGUCCAUCGUACAGCCAGACCAGAACCCACUGGCCCACUCCCAACCCAAGGGAACAGACCAGUGCACUGAAUCCUCUAGAUCAGUAAAAGUCAUCAAUAUUCCCAGAGAGAAGAUGGAUGACCGAAAGGCUGCAUACAAUCAAUAUGCGUUUGGCAAGUUAGAUGGUUCUUGCAGAACCUCUUCAGCUACAUGGUUGCUGGGAUGGACAGACAAAACAGCAGACUCACAGCUCAACAGCUUGAUGGGUGAGUUUGUAGUUUUACUUUAUCUUUUGGGGGGUCUAUCUAGUUCAGCAAAGGCUGACCUCAGCAAUACAAAACCAUAUUGCACAAUGAAUACCAUCACAUAAAUAAACACUGUACAGCUGCUAAGGUACUGAACUCAUACAAAUUAAAAACAGGAUUAACUUCUGUAUCGCAAAAAUCUACAUAUAACCUUAUUGGGUUCUGUUUAAAUUAAUAAAAAGGAUUAAAAGAACAGCAUUACAGUACUCUAUAAGGCUUACACUUUGUGGAUAUUUAGCGCCGUCUUGUGGUAUCAAACAGUCAGAUGCUCUGAAUACAGUGCUGCUCAUGA